ACCUGCCUGUAAGACUGGGAUAACUUCGGGAAACCGAAGCUAAUACCGGAUAGGAUCUUCUCCUUCAUGGGAGAUGAUUGAAAGAUGGUUUCGGCUAUCACUUACAGAUGGGCCCGCGGUGCAUUAGCUAGUUGGUGAGGUAACGGCUCACCAAGGCAACGAUGCAUAGCCGACCUGAGAGGGUGAUCGGCCACACUGGGACUGAGACACGGCCCAGACUCCUACGGGAGGCAGCAGUAGGGAAUCUUCCGCAAUGGACGAAAGUCUGACGGAGCAACGCCGCGUGAGUGAUGAAGGCUUUCGGGUCGUAAAACUCUGUUGUUAGGGAAGAACAAGUACNAGAGUAACUGCUCGUACCUUGACGGUACCUAACCAGAAAGCCACGGCUAACUACGUGCCAGCAGCCGCGGUAAUACGUAGGUGGCAAGCGUUAUCCGGAAUUAUUGGGCGUAAAGCGCGCGCAG
rnacentral:rRNA from 1 species